rnacentral:lncRNA from 1 species
UGAUUCUGUGCAGUUGAGUUCCCUUCAGGAUUUGAAGGUUGCUCUGAACUCUGUUAGCUUUUCUCUCACUAUCUUUUUCCUCCAGCCAGGGUAAUAGGAAUAGAAUGAAAUUUUCUUUCACUGAAACUCUGAAUUUAUAACCCGAUUUUUGUGGACCUGUGGGCUAAAAUGAGAGAGGUCCAAGUCCAAGAUUUUUUCUUUUAUUUAUUUAUUUAUUUAUUUUCAUUUUUCGUUUUUUG